GAUGAACGCUGGCGGCGUGCCUAAUACAUGCAAGUCGAGCGAAUGGAUUAAGAGCUUGCUCUUAUGAAGUUAGCGGCGGACGGGUGAGUAACACGUGGGUAACCUGCCCAUAAGACUGGGAUAACUCCGGGAAACCGGGGCUAAUACCGGAUAACAUUUUGAACCGCAUGGUUCGAGAUUGAAAGACGGCUUCGGCUGUCACUUAUGGAUGGACCCGCGUCGCAUUAGCUAGUCGGUGAGGUAACGGCUCACCAAGGCAACGAUGCGUAGCCGACCUGAGAGGGUGAUCGGCCACACUGGGACUGAGACACGGCCCAGACUCCUACGGGAGGCAGCAGUAGGGAAUCUUCCGCAAUGGACGAAAGUCUGACGGAGCAACGCCGCGUGAGUGAUGAAGGCUUUCGGGUCGUAAAACUCUGUUGUUAGGGAAGAACAAGUGCUAGUUGAAUAAGCUGGCACCUUGACGGUACCUAACCAGAAAGCCACGGCUAACUACGUGCCAGCAGCCGCGGUAA
rnacentral:rRNA from 1 species